rnacentral:misc_RNA from 1 species
CAUAAAAUCCCCCAAAUUUUUAAACAAACCUUGCUAUUACCACUAGACAAGAAGAGUGAAGAAGGAAGAAGAGGAGAAAAUUGAGAAAGUAAGAGGUUGGAGAAGCUUCAUUCACGGUUAGUAAUUAACCACUAAAUUUUUCUUUAGAAUUAUGUUUAUAUGCAUGAGUUAAUCUAGAAAUUGUGGAAAAAUGAAACAAAACCAACUUGUGAGACUAAUUGUAAAAUUCGGCCAGCCUUUGGGGGAGUUGAAAUUGGUUGAGUUUGAUGAAAUUAAAGGGGUCUAGAAGUGUAACUAAGUGUAUAGAUGUUGAAUUUGCACUUUAAUCUCAUUAAUUGCAUGAAUUAUAUAAUUAGGGUUCUUGGCCCUUAGGAUUUAGGGGAAAAAUUGUCGAAAAUGGUCAAUUGAUGCAAAUGACCUUAAUUGAGGUUUGAAAUAGUCAUUUUGAGUCAUUUGGAAUGUGUUUGAAUGAGUGAAAAUGAAGUGCAAUUCGGAUUAGUGAAGGGUCCCAAUCUCGCAGUUUGACCUAGGUCCGUUUGAGAGAUCAAAACUGAAAUUUUGCUAACCCAAUUGGUAUGAGACCAAUUGGG